ACACGGAUAGCUCAAUUGGUUAGAGCAUCGGACUUCUAAUCCGAGGGUUGCGGGUUCGAUUCCCGUUCCAACUGCCU
rnacentral:tRNA from 1 species